rnacentral:rRNA from 1 species
UACGUAGGGGGCAAGCGUUGUCCGGAAUCAUUGGGCGUAAAGCGCGUGUAGGCGGCCCGGUAAGUCCGCUGUGAAAGUCGGGGGCUCAACCCUCGAAUGCCGGUGGAUACUGUCGGGCUAGAGUGCGGAAGAGGCGAGUGGAAUUCCUGGUGUAGCGGUGAAAUGCGCAGAUAUCAGGAGGAACACCAAUGGCGAAGGCAGCUCGCUGGGACGUGACUGACGCUGAGACGCGAAAGCGUGGGGAGCAAACAGG